UAGGGAAUUUUCCACAAUGGACGAAAGUCUGAUGGAGCAACGCCGCGUGCAGGAAGAAGGCCUUCGGGUUGUAAACUGCUUUUGUACGGAACGAAAAGGCUCUUUCUAAUAAAGGGGGCUCAUGACGGUACCGUAAGAAUAAGCACCGGCUAACUACGUGCCAGCAGCCGCGGUAAUACGUAGGGUGCGAGCGUUAAUCGGAAUUACUGGGCGUAAAGCGUGCGCAGGCGGUUCUAUAAGACAGAUGUGAAAUCCCCGGGCUCAACCUGGGAAUGGCAUUUGUGACUGUAGAGCUAGAGUACGGUAGAGGGGGAUGGAAUUCCGCGUGUAGCAGUGAAAUGCGUAGAUAUGCGGAGGAACACCGAUGUCGAAGGCAAUCCCCUGGACCUGUACUGACGCUCAUGCACGAAAGCGUGGGGAGCAAACAGGAUUAGAUACCCCUGUAGUCCCUGAGCGGGCUGGCAAGGCGCAU
rnacentral:rRNA from 1 species